AACGAACGCUGGCGGCAGGCCUAACACAUGCAAGUCGAGCGGACCCUUCGGGGUUAGCGGCGGACGGGUGAGUAACGCGUGGGAAUAUGCCCUUCUCUACGGAAUAGUCCUGGGAAACUGGGGGUAAUACCGUAUACGCCCUUUGGGGGAAAGAAUUAUCGGGGAAGGAUUAGCCCGCGUUGGAUUAGGUAGUUGGUGGGGUAAUGGCCUACCAAGCCGACGAUCCAUAGCUGGUUUGAGAGGAUGAUCAGCCACACUGGGACUGAGACACGGCCCAGACUCCUACGGGAGGCAGCAGUGGGGAAUCUUAGACAAUGGGGGCAACCCUGAUCUAGCCAUGCCGCGUGAGUGAUGAAGGCCUUAGGGUUGUAAAGCUCUUUCAGCUGGGAAGAUAAUGACGGUACCAGCAGAAGAAGCCCCGGCUAACUCCGUG
rnacentral:rRNA from 1 species